AUACGCCAGGGAUGGGCGUACCAUUUAUUACUGGCCCGUGCUACAUUUCAAUUUAGUUUAUAAAUUUAUUAAAAUCGAUAUUAUGUUUAUCAUAAAAAGUAGAUAUAAAUUCUUAUAUAGUAUUGAACUAUUGAAUGUAAACAAUAUUAUAUAAUUUAUAGGCGUAUAGUUAACAUUAAGUUUUUUUUAGCUUUCCAUGUUCUCUGACCCUCUAGAUUUUCACACAUUCAAAAUUGGCCCUCUAGUAUCAUUGAGUUGCCCAUCCCUGGUAUACGCAAUGUACGACGGUGCCAGUGCAAGUGAGUAUUACAUACUUCAAAGGCCCUAUAUAUAUUCACAACCAAGGUCAUGUUACAUCCAUAUAGAGAGUGAGUCUAAAGCUCGUAUAACUGGAUACUUAAUUGUACACACGUGUCAAGGUUGACUACUGAUAUUAAUUAUAUAUUUCAACAUAUAGAAUAUACUAUUUUUUUAUUAAUAUAACAUUGAUAUUGCUAGAAGGUCAUUUACAUUCCAUUUAUAAGACAAUUAAAGAAGCAAUAGAUACCGAAUUGGAAGAAAAUAUAAGGACUCCAAAUCAAUAUUGUACUAUGUAUUACAAGGGACAUAAGUCUGACCGUAA